rnacentral:lncRNA from 1 species
GAAAUGAUAGUUAAGGCCAUGGUAUAUGGGGUUUUGAGAGUGAUUCAUAUAUUCAUGAAGUCUAUGGUGCUAAAACGAAACUGAUGUUUCAAAAAGUUCUCCAAAGUCACCACAUCCUAACUCAAACCUGUCUUAAAGCCCAAAAACUUUCAGAACAACACCGUUUUCUUUUGCAAAAAUUUUUUUUGUAGGGCUAAAGGAAUGUGGAGAUGAGGAUGUACUAAAGAUACAAU